CAUCUCUAAAUAUAAUUUCAUUCUUCUUUUCUACCUCAACUUUCUGUUAUUAUUUAUUAUUGUUUGAAUUAAAUAUAAAGUAUUCUCAUAACUAUCAAUCAUUUCCUCAUAUAAAAUUCAUGAAAAAUGUAGAUUUCACUGAUUUCUACUCUAUUUAAAUUUUUGCAAAAGAUCUAAUAAUCUGAGUUAGUUCUCACAGAAAAAAACUCUUUUCUUCUUUUAUUUUUAUUAUAAAGAAUAACAAUUCAAUAAAUCCCAGGGGAUGAAGACAUCUUUAAUUCCUCCAAAGGGUUAGAAGGCUCAGGCACAACACUGUAUAGCAGGGGCUUCAUGAAACAUGCAACUGGGCCAAGACGGAGCAAAAGUGCGAAGUCAUAUUAUUCAUUAUGUUGCUAUUAAGCAAUAUCAUCGCUAGAUAUCAUUGCUAGAUAUCAUUGCUAGAUAUCCUCGCAAGAUAUCGUUGUUAGAUAUCAUCAUUGAUACCAUCGGUAUAUAUCAUUGCUGGAUCGAUAUAUCAUUGCUAUAUAUCAUCGGUGGAUAUCAUUCCUUCAGCCAGGUCAGUAGAUAGAUAGGCAGUCAGCUAUGUAGUAAGCUAGCAUUGAUAGGUA
rnacentral:sRNA from 1 species